AUGGCUCGCCGCGGCCGCGACGACGACGACGACGAGGUCGAGGAGGAGGAGGAGGACGAGGAGGAGGCCUACGACCUCGACGACGAGGAGGACGACGAGGGGGACGACUACGAGGAGGAGGCGAGGGGCCGGGGCAAGGCGGCCUCCCGCUCCCGCGCCCCCGCCGGCGGGGUGCGGAAGAGAUCGCGCCAGGACAACUUCAUCGACGACUCGGCCAUCGAGGACGACGACGAGGACGAGGAGGACGACGGCGGGAGCCGCCCGAGGAAGAAGGGCGGCGGCGGCGUGCGCGGGUUCUUCGACGAGGAGGCGCAGGUCGACGAGGACGAGGAGGAGGAGGACGAAGGCGAAGGCGAGGAUGACUUUAUCAAUGAUGCUGGAGCCGACAUUCCUGAUGACGACGCCGGCAGGGGCUCCAGAUCACGUCACUCUAUCCCUAUGAGGGACGAAGAAGAGGAUAUUGAUGAGAUUGAACGACAAGUACGGGAGAGAUAUGCAAGAUCUACUCAUAUUGAGUAUGGAGAGGAAGCUGCAGACGUUGAACAGCAAGCUCUCUUGCCAUCUGUGAAAGAUCCAAAGCUUUGGAUGGUGAAAUGUGCGAUUGGGCAUGAGAGGGAGACAGCAAUCUGUCUAAUGCAAAAGUUCAUUGAUAGGACAGAUCUCCAGAUAAAGUCUGUUGUUGCGUUAGAUCAUUUAAAAAAUUAUAUUUAUGUUGAAGCGGAAAAAGAGGCCCAUGUCAAGGAGGCUUGCAAAGGUCUACGAAAUAUCUAUGCUUCGGCAAAAAUAACGUUAGUCCCAAUAAAAGAAAUGGCAGACGUCCUCUAUGUUGAGAGCAAGAAUGUUGAUCUUGCAAGGGAUACUUGGGUCCGAAUGAAGCUGGGAGUAUAUAAAGGUGACCUUGCUAAGGUUGUUGAUGUUGACAAUGUACGCCAAAGGGUAACUGUGAAGCUCAUCCCUAGAAUAGAUUUACAAGUUUUGGCUAGUAAACUGGAAGGGAGGGUGGUUGCAAAGAAGAAAACCUUUGUACCACCACCAAGAUUCUUUAAUAUUGAUGAAGCCAGGGAAAUGCACAUACGCGUGGAGCGGAGGCGGGAUAAAGACUCUGGGGAAUACUUUGAGAUGGUUGAUGGCUUGAUGUUCAAAGAUGGUUUCCUGUAUAAACCGGUCUCAAUAAAAUCAAUCCACACACAGGGCAUUCAGCCAUCAUUCGAUGAAUUGGAGAAGUUCAAGAAACCUGGCGAUGACAUGAAUGGGGACAUGUCUAGCUUGAAUACUCUGUUUUCUAAUAGGAAAAAGGGACACUUUAUGAAGGGUGAUGCUGUCAUUGUUGUUAAAGGCGAUCUAAAAAACUUAGAGGGUUGGGUUGAGAAAGUAGAGGACACAACUGUCCACAUCAGGCCAAAAAUAUCCGAUCUUCCGAAAACAUUAGCCUUCAACGAGAAAGAACUUUGCAAAUAUUUCAAACCUGGAGAUCAUGUGAAAGUGGUAUCGGGUGUCCAAGAGGGUACCACCGGCAUGGUUGUUAAAGUUGAUGGGCAUGUCUUAAUCAUUUUAUCAGACACAACUAAAGAACACAUACGUGUGUUUGCCGACCAUGUUGUGGAGAGUUCUGAAAUCACCACAGGAAUUACAAGAAUCGGUGAUUAUGAACUACAUGAUCUUGUUCUUUUAGACAACUUGUCAUUUGGGGUUAUUAUAAGAGUGGAAACUGAAGCAUUCCAGGUUCUGAAAGGAGUGCCAGAUAGACCUGAAGUGGUGCUUGUAAAAUUAAGAGAAAUAAAAAGCAAGAUUGAUCGGCGUACAUCAGCGAAAGAUAAGUUUAAUAAUAUGGUUGCAACUAAGGAUGUUGUCAGAGUUGUCGAGGGAGCAUGUAAGGGAACACAAGGACCUGUGGAACACAUACAUAAGGGGAUAUUGUUCAUAUAUGAUAGGCACCACCUUGAACAUGCAGGCUUCAUUUGUGCAAAAGCACAAUCGUGCAUUCUUGUCGGUGGAUCGACUGGUGGCCGUCGUGGAAAUGGUAUGGAUGCUGCAGAUGCUAGGAUGGGUGCUUUGAGAUCCCCGGCAAGCAUCUUGCAGUCUCCAGGAAGGCUGCCCCCAAGAGGACCACAAAUGAACUAUGGUGGAAGAUUUGGAGGAGGUGGUCGUGGUGGAAGAGGACAUGAUGCCUUGGUUGGCAAGUGUAUCAAAAUUAAAUCUGGUCCUUACAAAGGGUACCGUGGCCGCGUUAAAGAGGUGACUGGGGUGCUUGUGCGCGUGGAGCUUGAUUCGUUAAUGAAGAUUGUCACAGUUAAGAGGGAUGAUAUUGCCGACACACCUACUGUUGCAACACCAUUCCGUGAGCCCCGAUUUUCGUUGGGCAGUGAAACACCAAUGCACCCGUCUAGGACGCCACUACAUCCUUUUCAGACUCCAAUGCGGGACCCUGGAGCAACACCGAUACAUGAUGGAAUGCGGACCCCGAUGCGUAGUAGGGCCUGGGCUCCUAUGAGUCCUCCAAGAGAUAAUUGGGAAGAUGGAAAUCCUGAUACUUGGGGAAGCAGUCCAGCUUACCAGCCAGGAACACCACCAGCUCGGCCAUAUGAAGCCCCAACACCUGGAUCAGGGUGGGCAAAUACUCCAGGAGUUAGUUAUAAUGACGUCCCAACUCCUAGAGAGGGCAACUAUGCGAAUGCUCCAAGCCCAUAUGUGCCUUCCACACCUGUUGGCCAGCCAAUGACACCAAAUUCUGCUGCGUACCUUCCUGGUACACCUGGUGGUCAACCAAUGACUCCAGGCAAUGCUGGAAUGGAUAUAAUGUCUCCUGUAAUAGGUGGCGAGGGCGAAGUUAACUGGGCAUUGCCAGAUGUGUUAGUUAAUGUCUUGGCGGCAGGUGAUGAAGGACCUGGUGUGGUCAGGGAAGUGCUUGGGGAUGGAACUUGCCGUGUGGCACUUGGGUCGUCAGGCAACGGAGACAUUGUGACGGUCCUUCCGACUGAGCUCGAGGUCAUCAGACCAAAGAAGAGUGACAGGAUCAAGAUCAUGAAUGGUACCUUCCGCGGAUUUGUUGGAAAACUUAUAGGAAUAGACGGUUCUGAUGGCAUUGUGAAGCUCGACGACACCUAUGAGGUCAAGAUCUUAGAUAUGGUGAUUUUGGCCAAACUGGCGGCUUGA
rnacentral:rRNA from 1 species